GAUGAAGAACGUAGCGAAAUGCGAUAAGUAGUGUGAAUUGCAGAAUUCAGUGAAUCAUCGAAUCUUUGAACGCACAUUGCGCCCCAUGGUAUUCCGUGGGGCAUGCCUGUUCGAGCGUCAUUUACCCCCUCAAGCUCCGCUUGGUGUUGGGCGUCUGUCCCGCUUCGCGCGCGGACUCGCCCCAAAGGCAUUGGCAGCGGUCGUGCCAGCUUCUCGCGCAGCACAUUGCGCUUCUCGAGGCACCGGUGGGCCCGCGUCCAUCAAGCUCACCCCCCCAGUUUGACCUCGGAUCAGGUAGGGAUACCCGCUGAACUUAAGCAUAUCAAUAAGCGGAGGA
rnacentral:misc_RNA from 1 species